rnacentral:rRNA from 1 species
CCUACGGGAGGCAGCAGUGAGGAAUAUUGGUCAAUGGACGCAAGUCUGAACCAGCCAUGCCGCGUGCAGGAAGACGGCUCUAUGAGUUGUCAACUGCUUUUGUACGAGGGUAAACGCAGAUACGCGUAUCUGUCUGAAAGUAUCGUACGAAUAAGGAUCGGCUAACUCCGUGCCAGCAGCCGCGGUAAUACGGAGGAUUCAAGCGUUAUCCGGAUUUAUUGGGUUUAAAGGGUGCGUAGGCGGUCGGAUAAGUUAGCGGUGAAAUCCCGAGGCUCAACCUCGGAAUUGCCUCUGAUACUGGUCGGCUAGAGAGUAGUUGAGGUAGGCGGAAUUCAUGGUGUAGCGGUGAAAUGCUUAGAGAUCAUAAAGAACACCGAUUGCGAAGGCAGCUUACCAAGCUACUUCUGACGUUGAGGCACGAAAGCGUGGGGAGCAAACAGGAUUAGAUACCCGGGUAGUC